GUGUCGGUUGUGCAACAGUUCAGCACGCGCUCGCGAAAAGAGUGAGAUCUGGGUUUGAAUCCCGGCUGACGCA